rnacentral:RNase_P_RNA from 1 species
GCGAGUCUGGCAACAGACCGGCACGGCAAACCCCACACGGAGCAAGGCCAAAUAGGGAAGGAGCUGCCGCAAGGCAGCAGGCGUGGCCCACGUCCCUUCCGGGUAGGCUGCUGGAACCCACCGGUGACGGUGGGUCUAGAGGAAUGGUUGUCCCGGCCGUCGUCGCGCAAGCGGCGGCGGUUAUGACAGAACCCGGCUUACAGGCCGGCUCCCACU